GUCAGAUUAGCUAGUUGGUGAGGUAACGGCUUACCAAGGCGACGAUCUGUAGCGGGUCUGAGAGGAUGAUCCGCCACACUGGAACUGAGACACGGUCCAGACUCCUACGGGAGGCAGCAGUGGGGAAUUUUGGACAAUGGGGGCAACCCUGAUCCAGCCAUGCCGCGUGAGUGAAGAAGGCCUUCGGGUUGUAAAGCUCUUUCGGCCGGGAAGAAAUCGCAUGGGCCAAUACCCUGUGUGGAUGACGGUACCGGAAUAAGAAGCACCGGCUAACUACGUGCCAGCAGCCGCGGUAAUACGUAGGGUGCGAGCGUUAAUCGGAAUUACUGGGCGUAAAGCGUGCGCAGGCGGUUUUGUAAGACAGGCGUGAAAUCCCCGGGCUCAACCUGGGAACUGCGUUUGUGACUGCAAGGCUAGAGUACGGCAGAGGGGGGUGGAAUUCCACGUGUAGCAGUGAAAUGCGUAGAGAUGUGGAGGAACACCAAUGGCGAAGGCAGCCCCCUGGGUCGAUACUGACGCUCAUGCACGAAAGCGUGGGUAGCAAACAGGAUUAGAUACCCUGGUAGUCCACGCCCUAAACUAUGUCAACUAGGUGUUGGGUGGGUAAAACCAUUUAGUACCGUAGCUAACGCGUGAAGUUGACCACCUGGGGAGUACGGCCGCAAGGUUAAAACUCAAAGGAAUUGACGGGGACCCGCACAAGCGGUGGAUGAUGUGGAUUAAUUCGAUGCAACGCGAAAAACCUUACCUACCCUUGACAUGCCAGGAACUUGCCAGAGAUGGCUUGGUGCCCGAAAGGGAGCCUGGACACAGGUGCUGCAUGGCUGUCGUCAGCUCGUGUCGUGAGAUGUUGGGUUAAGUCCCGCAACGAGCGCAACCCUUGUCGUUAAUUGCCAUCAUUUAGUUGGGCACUUUAGCGAGACUGCCGGUGACAAACCGGAGGAAGGUGGGGAUGACGUCAAGUCCUCAUGGCCCUUAUGGGUAGGGCUUCACACGUCAUACAAUGGUCGGUACAAAGGGUCGCCAAGCCGCGAGGUGGAGCCAAUCCCAGAAAGCCGAUCGUAGUCCGGAUUGCAGGCUGCAACUCGCCUGCAUGAAGUCGGAAUCGCUAGUAAUCGUGGAUCAGCAUGUCACGGUGAAUACGUUCCCGGGUCUUGUACACACCGCCCGUCACACCAUGGGAGCGGGUUCCGCCAGAAGUAGGUAGCCUAACCGCAAGGAGGGCGCUUACCACGGCGGGGUUCGUGACUGGGGUGAAGUCGUAACAAGGUAGCCGUAGGGGAACCUGCGGCUG
rnacentral:rRNA from 1 species